rnacentral:rRNA from 1 species
UACAGAGGGGGCAAGCGUUGUUCGGAAUUACUGGGCGUAAAGGGCGCGUAGGCGGCCUUCUAAGUCGAACGUGAAAUCCCCGGGCUCAACCUGGGAAUGGCGAUGGAGACUGCAAGGCUAGAGUUUGGCAGAGGGGGGUAGAAUUCCACGUGUAGCAGUGAAAUGCGUAGAUAUGUGGAGGAACACCGAUGGCGAAGGCAGCCCCCUGGGUCAAAACUGACGCUCAUGACACGAAAGCGUGGGGAGCAAACAGG